rnacentral:rRNA from 1 species
UGGGGAAUAGUUGCACAAUGGGCGCAAGCCUGAUGCAGCCAUGCCGCGUGUAUGAAGAAGGCCUUCGGGUUGUAAAGUACUUUCAGCAGUGAGGAAGGUGGAUAUGUUAAUAGCAUAUUCAUUUGACGUUAGCUGCAGAAGAAGCACCGGCUAACUCCGUGCCAGCAGCCGCGGUAAUACGGAGGGUGCGAGCGUUAAUCGGAAUUACUGGGCGUAAAGCGCAUGCAGGUGGUUUGUUAAGUCAGAUGUGAAAGCCCGGGGCUCAACCUCGGAAUUGCAUUUGAAACUGGCAAACUAGAGUACUGUAGAGGGGGUAGAAUUUCAGGUGUAGCGGUGAAAAUGCGUAGAGAUCUGAAGGAAUACCGGUGGCGAAGGCGGCCCCCUGGACAGAUACUGACACUCAGAUGCGAAAGCGUGGGGAGCAAACAGGAUUAGAUACCCCGGUAG